CAUCACUCUGUGCCAAAGGCCUUCAGAAAAGGAGUUAAUUAAUAUCCCUUGCUGUGGACUAAUUCUCAUUUCAACAUGUGGCUGUCAUUUCCCUGUCAUCAUAGCUGAUUUACAACAGGGUUUAAUUAAAUUCUCUGUGCAUUAUUCAACAUUCUCCAAAGACAACACCAGAGAGGCCCGGGGUAUUUAAAAUGUCACCUGCUGAGACAUAUCACCUCUUCUUAAAUAAAUAUGACAGUGAUCAAACUUUGGCUAAUUACAGUGACUUAGUUAUUUGUUUGUAUGUUUUAAUAUUUAAUUGCUUUCGUGUUCAUCCAAUUACUCAGCAACAGCAAAUAGAAAUUAACUUUUUAUCAGCGUGUUCCCAGCCUAGAAUAAGCACCCCAGAGCCUCUGCACAAGGGCAGCUCCCCAGCCCGAGAGGAUGGCCGUCACGGUCUCAGCUCAGUGCACGGGUCGAUUUAAUUAAGGGAGAACCCUCCCCGUGUCCGCCCCAGCAUCAAACUCCAUCAGGGAUUUAGUUCUACACUGCCACCCCGUGGCCACUUUGUGCAAUUGCCCCAGCUCCUUCCGAUGCUGACGGUUCUGGGGAAGGAGAAAGAUGACUGCUGGGGACACACGCGUAGGCUGGUGUCUUGAAGUUCCCACACCAGCAACCUGCAUUCUCCCCUCACCAUUGGGGGCGCUGUCUUCAUGGUCCUCCAGCUUUGGGGGCCUCCUGCUCCCCUUUAGACAGUUCAGCCCCUGCCGCCAAGCUCCUGGACUGAGGCGGCACCAACCUGAGAACACCUGUGUGACUGGGUUCCAGCAGAUGGACGCACUGUCGGUUAAGAGACGGGAUCUGGGAUGUGCCCACAGGUCCCAAGCAGGGCUCGACCAGACCCCGGACGGCCCCAGCCCCUCUGGCGCUGUCUCCAAAUUUCCCACUUGAUCCCUCCAACCAGUGAUUUGACGUUUUGACAUUUUCUCUUCGCCCAAACCUAUAACCGCAGCAUCUCAGAAUCUCUGCAGAAUAUUUUUUUUUUUUUAAAGGAUGGGCGAUUAGGCCCCUUCUGCAACUCUUCAGUGAUUCCAAAUUAGAUAAGCACUUUCUGCCUCCAGCCUAACCCCACAGCCUCAUGGGACCCUGGCUUAAAACAUUCAACUUUCCAAAAAUAAAAAUAAUCUUUCCCAAGACUUACAUCUUAUCUCCGCAGCUCAGCUGUAAGCUCCUUAAGUGGGUGGGGAAGAGGAUGGGGGUCCCAAAAGGGCCCCCAAAUGAGGCAAGCUGGCCUGAGGAGCCAGCAAGAGCCUGCCUGGGAAGCCACGUGUGAACUGGCAGCUGGAGGAAGAAAAAGAAUUUUUCUCAUUUAGCAAGGAAUCCGAGGCCUUUGGGAAAUUUUUCCUGGGGGCCCAGAGUUUAUGCAAAUGAAUCCAGACCAGGAAGAGGGGUUCUAAUUGGUCCCAGCGGUGCUGUCCUGGGGGGCGGGGUCAGAGCCACAGUGCCCCACCUGUGUGAGCCUCUCUGACAGGGUCCCCGAGGCCCACACUGGCUGUCAGAGCCCCUCUCCUCAGAUCCGGAGACUUUUACCUUAAAUUCCCAUCGACGCCUUAUUUUCCUUUCUUCUCAGGCUGAUUCCUUGGAGAAAGCGACGCGGCUUCAGAUUCCCUGGCUUGGCUGAGAACCGCUGAGAAACCGGAACAGUGAGAGGGCAGAGAGGACGCAGUGCAGGGGACAGAGAGGGGGCCGGCGCCCGUGGAGGGCUGCACCUCAAGGCCACACAGCUGCCCUGCACCGUGGGAACUCACCAGCACGCGGUGGGCGCCUCGUUAGAGCUCAAGGCCACAUGGAGGCUCCAAAAGCCUAAAAACCAUAACCCGGCCUUCUCCAGACUCUGCGGGACCCCGAUGAUAACCUCGGUUGAUCAGGGUGCUUGACCUUUUGGGGGGCACGACAGGGUGACACGGUGACACGUGGGAUCGGUUGUCCCGUGGCCCGGGUUUCAAUCCCAGUUCUGCCACUUCCAAACUACGUAACCUUGGGCACUUACUUAAAAUCGGCCUCAGUUUUCCCAUCCGUAAAAUGGGAGUCAUUCUAGGACACCAUUUAUAGGGUCGCGGGGCAAUUAAGUGAGAAGCCCUGUGUAAAGUGUGUGAGGUAGUGCCUGCUACCAGUCCUGGUGGUUAGAAUCACCCCGACCCCCUUGGGGGGUGACUGUCAUUCCCAUUUCAAAGUGAGCGAUCAGAGCACAGAUCAGGCAGCCACACAGUGGGAGAGUGGAGUUCGAAGCCACGACAUAACCUCAGGUGCACACACCUGCUCUCGCAUACGACAGGGGUCCUGAUGGUGGCUCUGCCAUGGCCCCCUUGGACCUUUGAUGACGUCUAUGGACCCAUUUAAAUGUUUGAGGUUAAAUACAUAGAAGGAUAAUGAUAACCAAUGCUACUGAAUACCAGUUCUUAAAAUAGUUUUUAAAAGCGAGACAGUAGGGUAUAUGAGCUUCUUUAUUAAUGCAUUAAAGACAGCAUAGUUGCUGGUUUAAAACCACCACGAUUUCUGGAUUUUUUUUUUUUAAGCAAGCGAAGUCUUUAUGACAGGAAAGCAACAGCUCCCAGGACAGCUGGGAGGCGGAAGAAGAGCCCUCCCCACCCCACAUUGUCCUAUAGGGGUUUUUCUCCCUUACGGGAGGGGAGUACCAACGUGGAGUCCAGAAAGAUGUGAUAGAGACACCAUAAUUUCUGAGGAAUGAAGAGUGCUAGGAAUAUUUCGAGAUACCUGCAACGGUUUUAAUAGAGUGGAGAAAUAGCUAUGAACUAAAGAUCGAAAUUGACCUGGUCUCAGCUCCUGGGCUUCCUGAAUUGUCUCCAUAGACCCUAAGGGGUCAUGAGCUCCAGGCCAGGGACCUCGGGUAUCCACUGCUUCUCCGUGAACAUUUGCUACUCUUCUCUGGGAUACAGAUUCCCCUUGAACUUCUGCUGAAAACUAGCGACUCCCUUUCUUGGGGGACAAUAGAUGCCUAUC
rnacentral:lncRNA from 1 species